AUUUUAUGAAUGUUGAAUUUUGGAAGAAGUUAAGAAAAUAUGGCUCACAAAAGAAAAAGAAAAAUAAACCAAUGAACGAUCUCGCGAUGAUUCUUUUACUCACCAUGAAAGCUACUCGAAAUUUAUUCGACAUGAUGUUAUAAAGAAUCGGAUUGAUAGUCGUGGAGACAUAAUACAGGACUCCAGACACGUAGGUCAUCAAUAGAUAAAGAGACUCUAUCCAUCUACUGUGAGACGUGAAGUGGUCCUCGCUGUUGGUGCCAUAAAUGGCGAUCAAUCGUUGAACGUGAAAUGGUGCCCAGCAGAUGAAGAAUGCGACGACAACUGCAACUAAAAUUAUGCAAGAGCAUACAUUUAUAUAAAAUACAUAUUAAUGUUAUUCUUGAUAGGAGAUAAAUGUUAAUCGUUUUUUUCUGUUAUUUUUUAUUUUUAUUUUUAUUUAUUUAUUUAUUUAUUUAUUUUUUUAUUUUUAUAAUAAGAAAUUACUAUUUGAAACUUACGGAGAAAUAUUAUACGUCGAGUUCUUUGAUUUGUUAAUAUUUUGACGUACAAAUAAAAUGAAACUCAGUGUUUUAAAAAAAUAUUAUUUCAUAUUUAAACAAAUUUAAUCGGCAUAAAACUGUCGUAGUUUCAGAGACAAGUUAAUGUUUGUAACGACAUAAACAAAUGACAUCCCAGAUGUUUUUGUAUGUCAAAGGAUUAAUAAACAAAAUAUUUCAUCUUUUUCUCUACUAUUGAAUUGCAAACGAUUCUGAUAAAUCACUAACUUGUGGAGGAUAUUCGAUUACGUGUGAUCAAUAAAUCAAGUGUGUAAUCCGAAA